GAUGAACGCUAGCUACAGGCUUAACACAUGCAAGUCGAGGGACCGGCGCACGGGUGAGUAACACGUACCCAACCUGCCCUUUACUAGGGGAUAGCUUUUAGAAAGAAAGAUUAAUACCCGAUAUAAAGGAUGGGGAUGCGUUGCAUUAGGUUGUUGUUGAGGAAACGGCACACCAAGCCGUCGAUGGGUAGGGGUACUGAGAGGAAGGUCCCCCACAAUGGAACUGAGACCCGGUCCAGACUGCGACGCGGAGCAGGAGUGAGGAAGAUAGGUGAAUGAGCGGUAGCCUGAAACAGCCAAGUAGCGUAAAGGGUGAAGGGUUGUUAAUCUUAAACUUCUUGUAUAGAAGAAUAUGUAUUAUAUGAAUAAGGAUCGGCUAACUCCGUGCCAGCAGCCGCGGUAAUUC
rnacentral:rRNA from 1 species